CCUUGAAUAAGUCUACACCAUUUUUAUUACCUCGUCAUCAUAAAUUCUUUGGAUAUCUGCAGAAACUUUGUCCUUCUAUUCACAUUUCAAGUUGCCUUCUUCACUCGCCAUUUUACUAAAAUUGAACUAUCUCUUGAAGACUCUUCUUAGGAGACCGAGCUAGAACACUUUGGUAGAUUCGGCAUUGCUGUGAGAUAUUGCAACAAGCAACAAACUCAGCCAAAUAGUGCAAACCGAAAGUUGCUCAAUUUUCUGCUCAACAAGAACGGUAAGUUACAUUUAAUAAUUUUCUGUAAUUAUAAUAAGAAGUUGUCAUGAUGUUAAGUGGGACUUCAGUGUUCAGUCGAAGUGAGUUCACUUUUGGGGCUGUACAUGCCAUAUGUUCAAUCUAGAGGCCUAAUCCAGAGAGCCAUGAAUGAUGCCCCUGGUUCAUAUUAGUUAAAGUAGAAUUCUUUUCAUUUAUCAAAUAUCAGAAGGCGAUUGAGAUAUAUGAAAAAAUAUGGAGUAAGAGGACCAUUGCUUAAUGCUGGCAUUUGCCAUCUCUUUAGAGGUGAUGUUGUUGCAAUAACAGAAGUAGCUAGGCACAAUAUAUUAAUCCUCGUGUGGAAUCUGUACUUUGAUCCUCAAUUGAUCGAGAUGGGAACCGCUUCUUAAUCUUACUCUUCUCUCUCACUCUCGCUCCAUUCUUCUUCAUUUCAUUCUUCGGUUCGUUCUCGCUAUGUUCUUCUUCAGUUCAUUCAAUUUAUUUUUAUGCAAAAUUCAUGAAUUGUAUUUGAUAAGUCUUGUGAUUGAUUCUCCGGUAAAUUCAUCCAGUAGUGACGACUUUGUUGCAUUUCUUGAGGCAGAGCUAACAGCUACUUCAGUUGAAUCAUCACUAGAUAAAGAAGCUGAAGAUGACAAAUAUAACGAUGAGGAAGCGAGGGAUGAAGUUUUUUUUCCUGUCAUUAAUAUUUUUAGUAGUAGAGACUGUAACGACUGGUGACGAUGAAAUUUUUUCCAUCAUUAAAAAGCUUUAAUGACAGAAAAUAGAUUUUUAACGACUAAUUUUUCUCUCGUUAUAGUCCUUGUUUUUCUUUUUUUGGUAGUGAUUAAAAGCUUCCUUUUGGGCAGGUGUAGAUGUGAAGAAACACAAGGCCAAAAUUGCUUGGGAAGAGGUUUGUGUGCUUAAAGAGGAAGGAGGGUUGGGCUUAAUGACUAGCAAAGAGUGGAACAAGGUGGCCAUAACCAAACACUUGUGGAAUCUCUUGCAACCUCAUAGUAGUUCCAUUUGGGUGAAUUGGGUAAAAAAGAACUGCCUUAAAAGAAAGAACAUUUGGGAAGGGAAGAUGGGAGGAGAAAGCACCUGGCUAUGGAAAAAGUUGAUGAAUCUCAUAAAUGAGAUGGAGAGUAAAAUCAAAAUCAUCAUAGGCAAUGGGACGCACACCUCUCUAUGGUUUGACAAUUGGCAUCCUAAUGGCCCUCUUUGCAAAAAAAUAUGGAGACCAUAUAAUUUAUGAUUUGGGGCUUGGAAAGCAUGCUAAAAUUAGUGACAUUAUUGAAGAUGGGCAAUGGAAAUGGUCGGUUGCUAAUUCUAGAGAGCUCACGGAAGUCAUGGAAAAUAUGAGUACAAAUCCUAGUGGAAGAAAUGACAGAGUGAUGUGGCUGCCCCAACCAAAUGGAAAAUUCUCCAUAAGAUUGGCAUGGGAGCUUUUUUGAACUAGAAAGAACAAAGUGGAUUGGUAUGGCACAAGAAGGUUAUCCCGAGACACUCAUUGAUUCUUUGGCUGGCAAUUAAAAAAAGGCUUAAUACCAAAGAUAAUUUGGUAAGGUAUGGGGUUAUCUCUAAUGCAACUUGUAACCUUUGCAACAAUUGUGAUGAAACUAUGGACCAUCUUUUCUUUCAGUGCGACUUCAACCCUUUAUCUGGAGGAAUGUAAUUGGUCCUAACAAUG